rnacentral:rRNA from 1 species
GACGGCCACAUCUCGUUGCAACACCGAUUCUCGUAGAUCACCAAAGUUAAGCAACGUCGAGCCUGUUCCAUACUUAGAUGGGUGACCACUUGAGAAUACCAGGUGCUGUAA